CAGUGGGGAAUUUUCCGCAAUGGGCGAAAGCCUGACGGAGCAACGCCGCGUGAGGGAGGAGGGUCUUUGGAUUGUAAACCUCUUUUCUCAAGGAAGAAGUUCUGACGGUACUUGAGGAAUCAGCCUCGGCUAACUCCGUGCCAGCAGCCGCGGUAAUACGGGGGAGGCAAGCGUUAUCCGGAAUUAUUGGGCGUAAAGCGUCCGCAGGUGGUCAGCCAAGUCUGCUGUCAAAUCAGGUUGCUUAACGACCUAAAGGCGGUGGAAACUGGCAGACUAGAGAGCAGUAGGGGUAGCAGGAAUUCCCAGUGUAGCGGUGAAAUGCGUAGAGAUUGGGAAGAACAUCGGUGGCGAAAGCGUGCUACUGGGCUGUAUCUGACACUCAGGGGCGAAAGCUAGGGGAGCGAAAGGGAUUAGAUACCCCUGUAGUC
rnacentral:rRNA from 1 species